AGAGUUUGAUCAUGGCUCAGAACGAACGCUGGCGGCGUGCCUAACACAUGCAAGUCGAGCGAGAAGGUGUAGCAAUACACUUGUAAAGCGGCGAACGGGUGAGGAAUACAUGGGUAAUCUACCAUCGAGUGGGGAAUAACCAGCCGAAAGGUUGGCUAAUACCGCGUACGCCUCCGGAUUUUCGGAUUCGGAGGGAAAGCCGUGCUGUGAGUACGGCGCUCUUUGAUGAGCUCAUGUCCUAUCAGCUUGUUGGUAGGGUAACGGCCUACCAAGGCUUUGACGGGUAGCUGGUCUGAGAGGACGAUCAGCCACACUGGCACUGCGACACGGGCCAGACUCCUACGGGAGGCAGCAGUAAGGAAUAUUGCGCAAUGGGCGAAAGCCUGACGCAGCGACGCCGCGUGGGGGAUGAAGGCCUUCGGAUUGUAAACCCCUUUCGGGAGGGAAGAUGGAGCGAGCAAUCGCUCGGACGGUACCCCCAGAAGCAGCCACGGCCAACUUCGUGCCAGCCGCCGCGGUAAUAC
rnacentral:rRNA from 1 species